UUAUAGGAGUGCACAGUCUUCAUGACGGAAGAAUUCCACCCAGCAACAAUUAGACCUAUGGCAGGCUUUUGUCACAAAUAUCAAAAGAAAUUUAGAAGAUCAUCUGGCUGGAAUUCAUUGAAUGCUGGAUUUCUCAUGCCAGCCCAGUGAUCCGAAUAAAAUAAGUGUCGACUAAAACAAGAACUCCGGCUGGCAUAUAUGGUCUCCCACACUUUAGUCUCAAACUUGAAAGGAGGACGCUCAAAAACAUUCAAGAACCUGAUUUCCACAUGCACCCUGAAGUAAAAGGUCAUUCUGGAGGCAUGAGAGAUCAGCAAAAAUCACACCCCAUGCAAAGAGCAGACCUGCAGUUGUCUAGACUCUUUAGUCUAGAUGUCAGC